rnacentral:rRNA from 1 species
GAUGAACGCUAGCGGCAGGCCUAAUACAUGCAAGUCGGACGGUGGUAGCAAUACCAUAGUGGCGCACGGGUGCGUAACGCGUAACCAACCUGCCCGAAACUGGGGGAUAGCCCGCCGAAAGGCGGAUUAAUACCGCAUAUACUCGCAGCAUGGCAUCAGGUAACGAGGAAAGAUUUAUUGGUUUCGGAUGGGGUUGCGUGACAUUAGCUAGUUGGCGGGGUAACGGCCCACCAAGGCGACGAUGUCUAGGGGACCUGAGAGGGUGAUCCCCCACACUGGCACUGAGAUACGGGCCAGACUCCUACGGGAGGCAGCAGUAGGGAAUAUUGGGCAAUGGACAAGAGUCUGACCCAGCCAUGCCGCGUGCCGGAUGAAGGCCUUCUGGGUUGUAAACGGCUUUUCUCAGGGAAGAAAACGGGUAUGCGUACCACACUGACGGUACCUGAGGAAUAAGCACCGGCUAACUCCGUGCCAGCCGCCGCGGUAAUAC